AGAGUUUGAUCCUGGCUCAGGAUGAACGCUGGCGGCGUGCCUAACACAUGCAAGUCGAACGGAGCCGCAAGGUUCUAGUGGCGCACGGGUGAGGAACACGUAGCUGACCUGCCUUCGAGCGUGGGAUAACGUGUCGAAAGACACGCUAAUACCGCGUAAGCUCACGGACUUUAGAGGUCUGGGAGAAAAGGGGAAACCCGCUUGAAGAGGGGGCUGCGGCCCAUCAGGUAGUUGGUGCGGUAACGGCGCACCAAGCCAACGACGGGUCGGGGGUCUGAGAGGAUGACCCCCCACACUGGGACUGAGACACGGCCCAGACUCCUACGGGAGGCAGCAGUGAGGGAUCUUGCACAAUGGGGGAAACCCUGAUGCAGCGACGCCGCGUGGGUGAUGAAGGUCUUCGGAUCGUAAAACCCUUUUGCCACUGACGAGACAAGGACGGUAGGUGGCGAAUAAGCUUCGGCUAACUACGUGCCAGCAGCCGCGGUAAUUC
rnacentral:rRNA from 1 species